rnacentral:rRNA from 1 species
AUGCCUAAGAAAUUAAUAGCUAGUCUACAUCUAGGAGCAAGAUUGUUGGGGAUUUGGCUCACUGGAGCAUGCGUAGCCGCGGCGAACCGAGGCCGGGGUGAAAACUCCGACGGGAACGAUAGAGGUGGCGGAGCAGAGGACGAGCCGGCCCCGGCGACGGCCUGCGGCAUCGGUCCCGUGCUGAACGCCACACUGGAGGUCGAGAAGGAUGGUCCGCCGACCGGACAAAACCCUCGGAUGGGGGUCAAGAAAACCCGCGAGGCCAAUGGUGUCCCAACAAGGGGCAGCUCCGUCGACGGCGCCGGCGCCGAGCCCAGGACCACAAGAGGCGCCUUCUUCCAACGGUGGGGCCGACCACUUCUCCGCCAGUGUGCCCGUCGACCGCCGGUGUCCCCAGGCUUCCCGCGGGCCCAGGCUCGCCGCCUCGGUUGCGGCUGUGGUGCCCCGACUCUAGAGGCCAAGAACCGCGGCGACGAAGGCCCCCGCCCUUCUGCUCGUGGCGAGCCCCAGCGGUUCCUGCCUACAACCGCGAGCCCCGGGCUCGCUCCCUCCACCUUUCAUGCGCUCCAAGGCUGCGCCGACUGUGGCGCUCCGGUCCAAGAAGCCGGCGACUUCGUCGCGCUCCAGGACGCCGCCUACCGUGGCGCUCUAGUCCAAGAAGCCGGUGCCUUAGUCGCGCUCCAGGACACGACAAACCGUCGCGCUCCAGGACGCCGCAGACCAUCGCGCUCCAGGACGCCGCUGACCGUGCCGCUCCGAUGCAACAAGGCGACGCCUUCGUCGCUCUCCAGGAUGUUGCUCGUGGCCUUGUUGGUCUCCUCCAGGGCCCAGCGAGCCCCCCAGCAAUGCCCACGAGACCAACCAGACGAGCUCCAGGAGCCGCGUCGCGAAGCAUCGCCUAGGCGAGCCUCGACCUGCUGGGAGCAACUGCAGUUGCAUCAUCCAAUUGUUUUUGAGAGGAAGGCAUUAUUGAUGGGAGUUCACCAUUGGUGCAAGGUUGAGAAAAGGGCGCCAAGCUUGCUGAUGAUCAUCAUCCAGAGCUGCUUGGAGAAACUGCAAUCUGCGAGCAAAUGGGUGGCCGUCUCCGGCGUAGCACAGCAAAGCGAGCAAAAUGGGUUGUGUGGGAUGCCCUCGAUAGCCAGGUUGUCAGGCGCCGCCCUGGUGGACCGUAUGAGUGCUCUAUCGUCUGACCGCACGGCUCCUUCGAAUUGGCAUAGGUACGCCGACUUGGCGGUGUAG